GAUGAACGCUAGCGGCAGGCUUAACACAUGCAAGUCGAGGGGUAUUGGUUUUCGGACCAAGAGACCGGCGCACGGGUGCGUAACGCGUAUGCAAUCUACCUUUUGCAGAGGGAUAGCCCCAGAGAAAUUUGGAUUAAUACCUCAUAGUAUAGUACUUUGGCAUCAAGGAACUAUUAAAGUCACAACGGCAAAAGAUGAGCAUGCGUCCAUUAGCUAGUUGGUAAGGUAACGGCUUACCAAGGCUACGAUGGGUAGGGGUCCUGAGAGGGAGAUCCCCCACACUGGUACUGAGACACGGACCAGACUCCCUAACGGGGAGGCAAGGCAGUGAGGAAUA
rnacentral:rRNA from 1 species